GCCUCAUUGAAUCCAUUAAUGUCAUAUGAAUGUCCCUUCACCAAGUAGGUUCUCCCUGUAAACAGGGGCUUGGCUCCAAAACACCUCAAACAAUCGGAUAUAGUAUAAUCAUAGGCCAAUCAAAUUAACUAACAACAUAAAACACACGGAAAUAAAAAAAACGUGAAUUGUUUAGUUUAUGUUAGGCUCAGAAUAUAUUACAGCUCUCUCAGUCACGAAUUUUCAGAAGCAGAACUGGCAUAAAGCUGAAUAAUUUGUC
rnacentral:lncRNA from 1 species